rnacentral:rRNA from 1 species
AUUGAACGCUGGCGGCAUGCCUUACACAUGCAAGUCGAACGGCAGCGGGGGAGAAGCUUGCUUUUCCUGCCGGCGAGUGGCGAACGGGUGAGUAAUACAUCGGAACGUGCCCUGUAGUGGGGGAUAACUAGUCGAAAGAUUAGCUAAUACCGCAUACGACCUGAGGGUGAAAGUGGGGGACCGCAAGGCCUCAUGCUAUAGGAGCGGCCGAUGUCUGAUUAGCUAGUUGGUGGGGUAAAGGCCUACCAAGGCGACGAUCAGUAGCUGGUCUGGGAGGACGAUCAGCCACACUGGGACUGAGACCCGGCCCAGACUCCUACGGGAGGCAGCAGUGGGGAAUUUUGGAAAAUGGGCGAAAGCCUGAUCCAGCAAUGCCGCGUGUGUGAAGAGGGCCUUUGGGUUGUAAAGCACUUUUGUCCGGAAAGAAAUGGCUCUGGUUAAUACCUGGGGUCGAUGACGGUACCGGAAGAAUAAGGACCGGCUAACUACGUGCCAGCCGCCGCCGUAA